GACGAACCUUGCUAACGUUAUUCGGAAUUACUGGGCGUAAAGGGCUCGUAGGCGGCCAACUAAGUCAGACGUGAAAUCCCUCGGCUUAACCGGGGAACUGCGUCUGAUACUGGAUGGCUAGAGGUUGGGAGAGGGAUGCGGAAUUCCAGGUGUAGCGGUGAAAUGCGUAGAUAUCUGGAGGAACACCGGUGGCGAAGGCGGCAUCCUGGACCAAUUCUGACGCUGAGGAGCGAAAGCCAGGGGAGCAAACGGG
rnacentral:rRNA from 1 species